rnacentral:rRNA from 1 species
GCCAGACUCCUACGGGAGGCAGCAGUGGGGAAUAUUGCACAAUGGGGGGAACCCUGAUGCAGCGACGCCGCGUGGGUGAAGGAGCGUUUCGGCGCGUAAAGCCCUCUCGGCAGGGAAGAAGGAGGACGGUACCUGACUAAGAAGCCCCGGCUAACUACGUGCCAGCAGCCGCGGUAAUACGUAGGGGGCAAGCGUUAUCCGGAUUUACUGGGUGUAAAGGGAGCGUAGACGGCGAUGCAAGUCUGAAGUGAAAGGCGGGGGCCCAACCCCCGGACUGCUUUGGAACUGUAUAGCUAGAGUGUCGGAGAGGCAGGCGGAAUUCCUAGUGUAGCGGUGAAAUGCGUAGAUAUUAGGAGGAACACCAGUGGCGAAGGCGGCCUGCUGGACGAUGACUGACGUUGAGGCUCGAAAGCGUGGGGAGCAAACAGGAUUAGAUACCCGCGUAAC